UACGUAGGGUGCGAGCGUUAAUCGGAAUUACUGGGCGUAAAGCGUGCGCAGGCGGCUUCGCAAGUCAGGCGUGAAAUCCCCGGGCUUAACCUGGGAAUGGCGUCUGAAACUACGGAGCUGGAGUGUGGCAGAGGGAGGUAGAAUUCCACGUGUAGCGGUGAAAUGCGUAGAUAUGUGGAGGAAUACCGAUGGCGAAGGCAGCCUCCUGGGCCAACACUGACGCUCAUGCACGAAAGCUUGGGGAGCAAACAGG
rnacentral:rRNA from 1 species